rnacentral:rRNA from 1 species
UACGAAGGGUGCAAGCGUUAAUCGGAAUUACUGGGCGUAAAGCGCGCGUAGGCGGUUUUUUAAGUCAGAGGUGAAAGCCCAGUGCUCAACACUGGAACUGCCUUUGAAACUGGAAAACUUGAAUCUUGGAGAGGUCAGUGGAAUUCCGAGUGUAGAGGUGAAAUUCGUAGAUAUUCGGAAGAACACCAGUGGCGAAGGCGACUGACUGGACAAGUAUUGACGCUGAGGUGCGAAAGCGUGGGGAGCAAACAGG